AACGGGAUAGAGUAAUUGGUUAACUCAUUAGGCUCAUGACCUAAAGUUAUAGGUUCAAGUCCUAUUCCCGUACUA
rnacentral:tRNA from 1 species